rnacentral:misc_RNA from 1 species
GUGAAUCAUCAAAUUUUUGAACGCAAAUUGCACUCUCUUCGGAGAGUAUGCCUGUUUGAGGGUCAGCCUAAAAAAAAUCGACAUAGUCGCUGUUUCGCGGUGACAUUCGUCGGAUAUUGGGUCAUCUUAAAUUUUUGGGCUUUAAGUGGUUAAAAAUUUUCUUUAUGAUUCCACGAACGUUUUUAAGUUUUUUUUCUUAUAUGUUUAAGGUAAUUG